ensembl:lncRNA
GGCUUUUCUCAGCACUUGCAUCAAUCGUUGUACAGUCAGCUCCACCAUUCUACACACCAGGAAGUUGAACUAUGCUCUCAGCGUGAGGGGAGGAGUUGUUUUUUUUUCCCUUUUCCCUCCUCCAUUAAACUUGGCAGUUACUUGUAACUUGUUGCAGGUGGAAGGUGGAAGGAGUGGGAAGCACUUUGGUGCUUGGACUUUGUACUAACAAGUACAAAGGAAGAGUCUGGGAUUUCACAGGAGACGUUAACAGCUUGGCCUGCCAGUGAUUAUGCUUCGGACUAGGAGGACUGCAAGAUUGUUUGAGUGAUGGCCUCUGACAGAUGUCAUCAUAAUCUGCUCUUCACAAAGAUCAGACAAGUUGUUAAUUCUGAUAGCUGGAGGACCUUGUCAAGCAGCUUUUCUGGAAUGUGUCUGGGAAUUUUAUUUGAAGACUUUCUUCUGUGACUUAAGUCACUUUUCAACAUCAGAUUGGAUUGUAAUCCCCCCCCACAAUUCUGUUCCCUUGGGAAUAAAUCACUCUGGACUGGCCUGACUGUGUGACAGCUUUAGAUAGCAGUCAUUCAUUGCAACCUAGAUGAACCUACGCUGCCCUAGUCCCUUUCCUCGCUAGCUGUCCACCAUACGGAACAAUCUGAGGAACCCUCAAGACUGCUUUUUCGCCUUCAUCCCAGUUUUACAGGAAUAUUUUUGAAAUAUUUUUUCUUUUUAGUAACUUUUGAUAUUUGGAUUCUAUCACAUUUUCUAAAUCGCUGACAGACUCUCUAGAGUGUGGGGUCAGCGACUACACUUGAAUAUCUAACGCUGUGUGAACCCCUGGCACUUGGCACGUUUACCAUACAUCAGCAGUCAUGGAGUCUGUAGCAGCUAGAAUGGCCAUGGUGACAGACUCCCCGAACCCUUCAUUAAGGUCGAGGACUACUGUGACGACGGAUGGCGAUUCCUUCGUGAGCACUGUCAGCCUUCCCUGCAGCCACUUUCUCUCUGCCAACUUCAUCAAUGUUGGUCCUAGGGGGGCUGGAGUCUAUCCCAGGUGACUAAGGGUGAAGGCAGGGGACACCCUGGACCAGUUGCCAGUCCAUGACAGGGCCACAGAGAGAGACAAACAAGCACAUUCACACCUAUGGACAAUUUAGAAUCAUCCGUUAACCUCAGCAUGUUUUUGGACUGUGGGAGAAACCCGGUGAGAACCCAUGCAGGGAGAACAUGCAAUGUUCACAUAGAAGGAUCCCAGGCCCAGGGACACGAACCGGGGGUUUUCUAGCUGUGAGGCGACAAUGCUAACCACCAAGCCACUAUGCAGCCCUACAAUGAAAUGCGGGAAUUUAAUGAACUGAAGAGAAAGCAUUUCAUAUCAGAUAAAGCAGUUGUGGAGAGGACAUACAAUCACUUGCAGACAAAUACAGACUGACUGAUUGCAUUUUGUGUUUACAUUUACUGAUUUGACAGUGUUUGUUUAUAUCACUGUUAUACAUGAUCACCUUAGUUGUGUUUAUUUGCACCAAAAAUUUGGUUUGCUGUUGUAUAUAAGCUCACUAAAGUGUCAACUGAAUGAGGUU